ensembl:lncRNA
GGCCUUGAAUCCCCAUCCGCAAUCCUUCCUCAGCCUGGUGAGGGAGCACUCAUGUUGUUAGUGUGCUACAGCUGUGUUCCUCCCAGAAAACCCAGAAAUUCUCAGGGAAAUGACAGUUGUCCCGAGAGGCAAUAGGAACCCUGGGAUAAAAGGGUCACAGGCAAUGUUAUGAUCUCUGUGCACGCUCAUGCGUGUGUAUGUGUGCGCAUGCACGUACAUGAGGACUGCACAUUUGUGUGCAGCACCUAGGCAUGUGUGUAUACAAAUGGAGGACAGAGGACUGUAGCCAGUGCUGGUCCCCAGGUGCUGUCGGCCUUUUUUGAUACUGCCUCUCACUGACCUGGAGCCCAUCAACUGAGGUAGGCUGCAAGCUUCGGGUAUCCUCCUGCCUCUGCCUCUCUGCCCUAGGAUAGGGACUUGGAUUCUAGGGGGUCAAACAGAGGUUCCCAUGCAAACAAGGCAAGCACGUUAUCCUCUGAACUAUCUCCCAGCUUUAUGGUUUGGGCUGUAAAUGUUCCCCCAAAGGCAUUCAAAGUCUGGUCCUCAGCUUGGUGCUACUGACAGCCAAGAGUGGGGGAAAAAAGGAAAAGAAAAGAAAAAAACAUAAAAGAAAAAAAAAAAGAUGUGGAGCCUUUAAGACAUUUGGAGAAUGUCUUUUCAAGGGCCAGAGGCAUUCCAACUCCCUCUCUGCCCUUUUUGUUUCCUGGCUUCCAGAUACUGGCUUUGUUCAGCCAUGACACAUUGUCCCACCACACAGGCCCACAGAGAUGGGUCUGACCCAGCAUAGAGAGAACCUUUUCUCUUGGGAGGUAAUUCUCUCAGGUGUUUGCUGAGGUAAUGCAAAGCUACCUAACCUGGACAACAAUGGAGAGGCCAAAGGACAGAGAAUGCCCAGCCUGAUACAGGAAGGAUACCAGUUGAACAGCAACCACAGGGAAUGACCAAGUGCCAUGUGUAUACACUGAAGACUUAUGCUAACUCUCUUAGCAUCGGAGAACGAGCGGAGCCGGGAGAAAGCAGAACGCCUAGAUCUGAGAGAUUUCUCAGAAUAACAUUACACGCCGGAGGCAGUCUAGUACUCUCCACUGUGGCUCAGUACCUGGAUUCUGCCACCCACAUGGCCACAGCUCCCCAUCUGCCUUUGUCAACAGGAGUAUUAUCUUGGAAUGUUGCAGGUCAGAAGCCUGCCUCUGUAUCUCAUCUGCCAGCCUAGCCAAGCCCUUCCACCGGAGCUGCCCCUGUUGACUCACACCUGUCAGGCGGGUGGGCAACGCUAUGAAACUGACCAGGAAGUCACCUGAGCAACUUCAGAGCUUGCUCCUGCUGGGAGAGAAAGGCCGGUUCAUACUUGCCUGGGAACUUCAGAGGUGGCGCCAGGGCUGAAGUUCCUCCAGCAACUGACUGCCCACAGCAGAGCCUCGACCAUUUAGCUACCUCUGCACCGUCCAUCCAGGACCAGGCACCCAGUAAGUAGAUGCUCAAGGUAGCCUUGUAGAAUGGCCGCGGAGCCACAGGGGUCCAGCAGGGUGUUAAGAUAAAGUGAUCUGGAG